GAUGUUAGAAUUUUUUUUUUUUGAGUGAUAGGUAACAUGCUAUCCGCUUUAUUUACAUUUAGAAAUAAACUUAGCUGGAAAUGUAAAUCAAUUAGGAUUCGAAUUUGGGACCUCGAGUACCAAUCACCAAAUCCUUUGCCACUUGCGCUAGGGACGGUCGGUAGCGAUGGUAGAACUACAACCACGUUUUAGUUGUAAU
rnacentral:lncRNA from 1 species